CAACCUAUGAAUGUGGUCGGUGGGGCAGAGUGGGGGGGUGGGGGAGGGGAGGCACAAUUCAGCCCCUAACAGAUCCAGGAUCUUUCCCGGACUCCAUCAAUAAGUUAAGCAAACAGGCUGCAACAGAGCAGAUGCAGGGCUGCUCCUCCCGCUUUCUGAGACCUUUGGUUCUCCAACCCAAAUGCUUCCCAGUGCUAGGAGGUAGGAUAAAUGAGGGGGGCAGUAAUAAAAUGGUGUGGACAACGGGAGAGCAGAUGCCCCGUCUGAAGGGGGUGCUACGAAGCUCCAGCUGGUCUCCGCCCUGUAGGCUCACAGGUCCAGUGUGGCCAGAUCGUCCAGUUUUCUAAGAGAAACGGAAAAUCUGGUUUUUUGUGUGUGACGUUUCCAAUUUUUUAAAAAACUGCAGGCCAAAGAGAACCUCUGCCAGCUGGAUCUGCCCUGCUUGUCGUUUCUUCUUGAGUGCUUUGCCGGGACGUGACCCAGCUGCCUUCCGUAGGGCUCCGUUCUGUGGGGGUAGGUUCGGAUUGGCCGAGCUGGUGCCAGAUGUCCCUGGGAAGGAGAACUCAGCCAAAUUAUGGCUACCGGGUGGGCAGAGUGAAGACAGGGUGGGACCUGAGGAGCGGGAGGUGGGGGGGGGGCUUCAAGGUAGAACUGGUUACAGCUUCUCGGUGUCAGUGGGAGUUACAUCAUCAUCAGUUGGAAUCAACUUUCCACAGCUUCCAGAAAAGCAAGAUCGAGGUGAAGUAGGCUGGUACUGGAACACAAGGAAUUUAACUCAGGCUUUUGGGAAAACUUGUAAAGGAAUUAUAAGGCUCUCAGAAUCUACCAUGGGGUCUCAGGUCUUGUCAGAUGGUGUCCAAGCAGGUCUGUCUGGGCUGAUGUCCAGGAAGACCUUAUCUGUCUUUGUCUCUACUUGCUCUCCCCUGCCCCAAAUCCCAUUCACUGCCAUCGCCCACAACAGCGUGGGCCAUUUCUUGUCUCAUCAACUUUUAGAUCAAAGUGUGAUUUGGGCCCCGAAGGCCAGUGCCAC
rnacentral:lncRNA from 1 species